GACAAACAGAUCAAACUAAAAUGAUAACAGUAUAAAAGGGGGUUAAAAAGUUAUUGAAUUGGAAAAUAAUGCUUUUUAUGGGGGUAGAAUUUGUGUAAAAAGAGAUAAUUUUUGUUUUCCUUAAUUUGAGGCCUCGAAAUUUUGUUAUGAGACCGGGAUUAGAUACCCCGUUAUUCAGAAUGUAAACAUUGACUAUAAAUAAAUUAAUUUACUUGAGUAUUACGAGUAGUAGGGAAGAUACUUAUGUGUUGCUUAAAACUCAAAAAACUUGGCGGUGCCUUAUAUCCUUCCAGGGGAACCUGUCCUAUAAUCGAUAGUCCACGUUUUAACUUUCUUUUUUUAGAAAUAGGCAGCUUGUAUACCGUCGUCGUCGGGUUACCUUUAAGAGUCGUGAAGUUAUCGGCAAGAGGGAGUAUGUAGAUUUAAUUUGGGUUAGUGUUUAUAUAUUUAUUCUAGACGUCAGAUCAAGGUGCAGCUUAUAAAAAAGAAGAGAUGGGUUACAGUAAUUAAAUUGUUAUUACGGAUCUUUGUUGUAAUAAGCAUAGUUGAAGGAGGACUUGGAAGUAAUUGUGAAAUGANAUAGUUUAGGUGAAAAAAGGCUCUGAGGUGCGC
rnacentral:rRNA from 1 species